CGCAAAUUUGCCUCUUCCUUCCAAAAAUAUUCUUCAACCCUGAUGUCAUUCCUGUGCCUAUUAAAACUCUCCUUUGAGGCAGCCAACUAUGACUCAAGGGAAAGGUUGAGUGGGUCCUUGUGGCGACCAUGAGAGCAGCAGGCCUCCCUGACCCAAGAAAGCCUCCUUGGAGCACCCUGGACUGGCCUGGGAUCAGUUAAGGAGAGUUUUACGGAACUGUGUCCUGGUCUGCUCCACAGCCCCAGUCAAACAGUCCUGCUCUUUGGAGGGGAAGAGCAGUUCAUUCUGAGCGUCCCUCGGCCAGACAUAUCCGAGUUCUGUGAAGAGCAGCAGGACCAAAAGGGAAAUUGGGAAAGACCAUCUUGCUGAGGUCUUUCAGGAAAUCAGAGCACAGAUGGUAGAGCUUUGGGACUGAAAGCUCACACAGAGGGAAGAGGGUUGAAUAAUCUUUUUUUUCCCCCCAGAUUCCCCAGAGCUUUCACUCCAGGGUGCCAGAGGGUGCCCGGCAGGAGCAGGCCCCUGGGAACUCCCAGGACAACCCAGAGGCAGUCCAGACAGCUGGGAGUCCUUUGCUGCGGGCAGGCUCCGGGUACAGUGCCCCUCAGAAGAUCAUCCCUACUCAGGUGGUGAGGCCUGGGGAAACUCAAGUUACUUUACCAUGUACUUCAAUAAGUGAGUCAUCUCUUAGCCUUUUCUUCCCUAGAUUGAAUGAUGCUCGUUCCAUCAACUGGUUUAUUAAACGCACCCUUUAUUUCGCCAUUAUAUGAGUGCAUUUUGGUCCUCUGUUCAACUAGAAGUUACCUUAUUUGUCUCUACCAGUGUACACACAGUAACCAACAAGUCGGACAUUUACGAAUACUUUAACAAGAAUCGACCCAACAAAUAAUUUCCAGAUCUCUA
rnacentral:lncRNA from 1 species